rnacentral:lncRNA from 1 species
CUGUCGUGUCCGCCUCUGCACUGGGAUUCCUCCAGCCCCAGCAAGUCCCUCAGGUGGUCCCAGCCUCUGUGUCCGCCUCUGCUCUCCCAGAGCGCCUCAGGCAGAGCAGCCAGGAUGGGGACCAGGCCCGCCUUACCGGGAAUGAGCCUGUCACCUGCUCCUCCCACCCCGCAGCAGGCGCUGCUGCAGCCUCUAGGAAAUCAACCGUGGAAACACACGGACCCUGCCCUCCCGGCGCCAGUGUUCUGGUGGUCAGGAGGUGAAGAAAACCAGCAAGAACCAGCACAGGAAUCCGACGGUGGCAGCGCCGAGAGAAACAAGCUUGGAGGGGAAGGAGAGCUACAGAGGCUGCAUGGAUGUGAUGGUUGGAGUGGAAGCUGACAUUGUGGGCCAGGAGACCCUGGGAGUACAGGCCAAGAUGAAAAGAGCCUCAAUCCAGAGCGUUCUGUGAAGCAGUCACCACGGCCACCCUGGGCCAUCAGCUUCUGGACUUUUACAACAUAGAAAUUAAAUUUCCAUUGAAUUUGUUGGA